rnacentral:rRNA from 1 species
UUGGUGAGGUAACUGCUCUCCAAGGCGACGAUCAGUAGCCGGCUUGAGAGAGUGACCGGCCACAUUGGGACUGAGACACGGCCCAAACUCCUACGGGAGGCAGCAGUGGGGAAUAUUGCACAAUGGGGGAAACCCUGAUGCAGCGACGCCGCGUGAGUGAAGAAGUAUUUCGGUAUGUAAAGCUCUAUCAGCAGGGAAGAAAAUGACGGUACCUGACUAAGAAGCCCCGGCUAACUACGUGCCAGCAGCCGCGGUAAUACGUAGGGGGCAAGCGUUAUCCGGAUUUACUGGGUGUAAAGGGAGCGUAGGUGGCAUGUCAAGUCAGAUGUGAAAGCCCGGGGCUCAACCCCGGGAUUGCAUUUGAAACUGCUAUGCUAGAGUGCAGGAGAGGUAAGUGGAAUUCCUAGUGUAGCGGUGAAAUGCGUAGAUAUUAGGAGGAACACCAGUGGCGAAGGCGGCUUACUGGACUGUAACUGACACUGAGGCUCGAAAGCGUGGGGAGCAAACAGGAUUAGAUACCCUGGUAGUCCACGCCGUAAAUGAUGAAUACUAGGUGUUGGGGAGCAAAAGCUCUUCGGU